AUACGUAGGGAGCGAGCGUUGUCCGGAUUUACUGGGUGUAAAGGGUGCGUAGGCGGGAUAGUCAGUCUGUUGUAAAAGUUCGGGGCUCAACCCCGUGAAGCAAUGGAAACUGCUAUUCUUGAGUGCAGGAGAGGAAAGUGGAAUUCCCAGUGUAGCGGUGAAAUGCGUAGAUAUUGGGAGGAACACCAGUGGCGAAGGCGACUUUCUGGACUGUGUCUGACGCUGAGGCGCGAAAGCCAGGGGAGC
rnacentral:rRNA from 1 species